rnacentral:rRNA from 1 species
AACGUACGCUGGCGGCAAGCUUAACACAUGCAAGUCGAACGAGAACGCACCUUCGGGUGUUAUUAGAGUGGCAAACGGGUGAGUAACACGUAGGAAUCUACCUUACAGACUGGAAUAACUUCUGGAAACGGGAGCUAAUACCGGAUAUACCCUUAGGGGGAAAGAUUUAUCGCUGUAAGAUGAGCCUGCGCCUGAUUAGCUAGUUGGUAGGGUAAUGGCCUACCAAGGCGACGAUCAGUAGCUGGUCUGAGAGGAUGAUCAGCCACACUGGGACUGAGACACGGCCCAGACUCCUACGGGAGGCAGCAGUGGGGAAUAUUGGACAAUGGGGGCAACCCUGAUCCAGCUAUGCCGCGUGAAUGAAGAAGGCCUUAGGGUUGUAAAGUUCUUUCAGUAGGGAAGAUAAUGACGGUACCUACAGAAGAAGCCCCGGCUAACUCCG